GUGGGGAAUAUUGGACAAUGGGCGAAAGCCUGAUCCAGCCAUGCCGCGUGUGUGAAGAAGGUCUUCGGAUUGUAAAGCACUUUAAGUUGGGAGGAAGGGCAGUAAGUUAAUACCUUGCUGUUUUGACGUUACCAACAGAAUAAGCACCGGCUAACUUCGUGCCAGCAGCCGCGGUAAUACGAAGGGUGCAAGCGUUAAUCGGAAUUACUGGGCGUAAAGCGCGCGUAGGUGGUUUUGUAAGUUGGAGGUGAAAUCCCCGGGCUCAACCUGGGAACUGCCUGCAAAAAUGCAUGACUAGAGUACGGUAGAGGGUAGUGGAAUUUCCUGUGUAGCGGUGAAAUGCGUAGAUAUAGGAAGGAACACCAGUGGCGAAGGCGACUACCUGGACUGAUACUGACACUGAGGUGCGAAAGCGUGGGGAGCAAACAGGAUUAGAAACCCGGGUAGUCC
rnacentral:rRNA from 1 species